GGGCCCGCACAAGCGGUGGAUGAUGUGGAUUAAUUCGAUGCAACGCGAAGAACCUUACCUGCUCUUGACAUGCCAGGAAUCCUGCAGAGAUGUGGGAGUGCCCGCAAGGGAAUCUGGACACAGGUGCUGCAUGGCUGUCGUCAGCUCGUGUCGUGAGAUGUUGGGUUAAGUCCCGCAACGAGCGCAACCCUUAUCAUUAGUUGCUACGCAAGGGCACUCUAAUGAGACUGCCGGUGACAAACCGGAGGAAGGUGGGGAUGACGUCAAGUCCUCAUGGCCCUUAUGAGCAGGGCUUCACACGUCAUACAAUGGUCGGUACAGAGGGUAGCCAACCCGCGAGGGGGAGCCAAUCCCACAAAGCCGAUCGUAGUCCGGAUCGCAGUCUGCAACUCGACUGCGUGAAGUCGGAAUCGCUAGUAAUCGCGGAUCAGCAUGUCGCGGUGAAUACGUUCCCGGGCCUU
rnacentral:rRNA from 1 species